rnacentral:rRNA from 1 species
AACGAACGUUAGCGGCGCGCUUAACACAUGCAAGUCGAACGAGAAAGUCCUUCGGAUGAGUACAGUGGCGCACGGGUGAGUAUCACGUGGGUAAUCUGCCCUUUGGUGGGGAAUAACACUCCGAAAGGAAUGCUAAUACCGCAUAAGUCCACUUCGGUGGGAAAGGCGGCGUAAGCUGUCGCCAGAGGAUGAGCCCGCGGCCCAUCAGCUUGUUGGUAGGGUAAUGGCCUACCAAGGCUACGACGGGUAACUGGUCUGAGAGGAUGAUCAGCCACACUGGAACUGAAACACGGUCCAGACUCCUACGGGUGGCAG